ACUCCGUCUCAAUAUGUCUCAAGAUGGCGGCCAAUGUGGGAUCGAUGUUUCAAUAUUGGAAGCGCUUUGAUUUACAGCAGCUGCAGAGAGAACUCGAUGCCACCGCAACGGUAUUGGCGAACCGGCAGGAUGAAAGUGAGCAGUCCAGAAAGCGGCUUAUCGAACAGAGCCGGGAGUUCAAGAAGAACACUCCAGAGGUGAGGCGCGUGACCAUCAUGUUCGCUUUGAAGGGAUCUUAGAAUGCUGGUGCAUGUUCAGGCGACGCUCCGUGAGCAUUUCAUUUUCAUCAGACGAACGCACGGCCGGCAAACAACCCGUUUCUUUCCCCAGAUGUCUUCAGCCCCAUUUCCAGCAGAACGCAUGCCAUCCUGCAGGCUGUGGGGAUGUGGAAAUUGAUAGGUUGUCUGGAAAUAUGAAAGUCAGAGCCAAUUCCAGGUGCAGAUACUGGACAAGCUUGGUCUGUAAGAACACGUGGGCAGGUGUGUGGGUGUCUCAGACCCUCGAGCUCAUCCCAGACCCUGUCCCAUGUCAGUUAGCAAGCCACCAAAGUCCAUAAGGG
rnacentral:sRNA from 1 species